rnacentral:sRNA from 1 species
UGCCAGGGAAGAAAGGUGGGUUGCAGGUUUUUGUUUGGAAUCCAAAUCUUAUUUAUCUUCCGCACACGCGGACAAGGGCAUGCCGAUGGAACUUUGUAUGGCUGUUCAGGCAGAGAGAUUUACGAAUGGUCGAAAAUCGUUCGUGAGUGGCAACUAGGGAUGCGAAAUUCAGUUAAUUGAUGGAUGCGAAACAUCUUGAUAUCCUAGCCGCUAAUUGGGGAAAAAAUAAAAAUAAAAUAAAAAUAAAAAUAAAAUAAAAUAAGAAUGAAAAUGAAAACGAAAAUAGAACAGAAAUGGAUGAAUAGUCGUUUUGAGUAUUUUAUCUAUCUCCCUUUCUCCUUGCGAUAUAUAAUAAAUGUCAAACUUGCCCUUCUCCAACUUAUCAUCUAAACUCCUUUCCGUAUCCAUUUAAAUAACUAAAAUAGCUCUG